GCAUACAUAAUGCCGUUGAGGUUUGUAAGCGAUUUAAAAGGAAGGAAGUAGGACGGGCAGUUUAAUCUGUUUGGCCGUGAAACGCCAAUGCACGAACGCCUACGCCUUGUCUCAUGCAUAUCCAUACGGUUAAGCAAUAUUCGCAACGCCCAUCCAAGUGCAUGGAAACAGAUCCUUGUGUAGCUCUGAAUUCGUCACAUAGCAUGAAAAAGGAAAAAAAAACUCGGUACAUAUAUUAGCUCCAAAAAUACCCGUGUAGAAAAAAUAAAUACAAAGUGUCCAGGGUUCGGCUUUUAGCCAGUUGUGGGACGAAGAUUGUUAGAGGGAGGGAAAGGCACGCUUUCUCCGUGCCGUGCAUGGCCACUUGGGCAAGCAACUAACGGCCUCCAUAGAAUUAAGUGCAAGAGAACAAACCAGAGAGCCCGUCUCGUAGCACGAAGAAGGGAAAACAGAACACCGGGAAAACAGAUUCCAAGCCACCCACGUAGAGCAGCAGACACGAAACCGCAGU
rnacentral:lncRNA from 1 species